rnacentral:rRNA from 1 species
CCUACGGGUAGCUGCAGUGGGGAAUAUUGCACAAUGGGGGAAACCCUGAUGCAGCGAAGCCGCGUGAGCGAAGAAGUAUUUCGGUAUGUAAAGCUCUAUCAGCAGGGAAGAAAAUGACGGUACCUGAGUAGGAAGCUCCGGCGAAACACGUGCCAGCAGCCGCGGUAAUACGGAGGGAGCAAGCGGUAACCGGAUUUACUGGGCUUAAAUGGGGCGUAGGCGGCCUGCCAAGGCUGAUGGGAAAUACCGGGGCUCAACCCCGGGGGUGCAUUGGAAACUGGCAGGCUGGAGUGCCGGAGAGGCAGGCGGAAUGCGUAGUGUAGCGGUGAAAUGCGUAGAUAUUAGGAGGAACACCAGUGGCGAAGGCGGCCUGCUGGACGGUGACUGACGCUGAGGCUCGAAAGCGUGGGGAGCGAACAGGAUUAGAUACCCGGGUAGUC